rnacentral:rRNA from 1 species
GACGAACGCUGGCGGCGUGCCUAAUACAUGCAAGUAGAACGCUGAAGCUUGGUGCUUGCACCGAGCGGAUGAGUUGCGAACGGGUGAGUAACGCGUAGGUAACCUGCCUGGUAGCGGGGGAUAACUAUUGGAAACGAUAGCUAAUACCGCAUAAGAGUAGAUGUUGCAUGACAUUUGCUUAAAAGGUGCAAUUGCAUCACUACCAGAUGGACCUGCGUUGUAUUAGCUAGUUGGUGAGGUAACGGCUCACCAAGGCAACGAUACAUAGCCGACCUGAGAGGGUGAUCGGCCACACUGGGACUGAGACACGGCCCAGACUCCUACGGGAGGCAGCAGUAGGGAAUCUUCGGCAAUGGACGGAAGUCUGACCGAGCAACGCCGCGUGAGUGAAGAAGGUUUUCGGAUCGUAAAGCUCUGUUGUAAGAGAAGAACGAGUGUGAGAGUGGAAAGUUCACACUGUGACGGUAUCCUACCAGAAAGGGACGGCUAACUACGUG